rnacentral:rRNA from 1 species
GUCCACGCCCUAAACGAUGUCGACUGGUUGUUGGGGUUUGACACUCUCAGUAACGAAGCUAACGCGUGAAGUCGACCGCCUGGGGAGUACGGCCGCAAGGUUAAACUCAAAGGAAUUGACGGGGACCCGCACAAGCGGUGGAUUAUGUGGAUUAAUUCGAUGCAACGCGAAAAACCUUACCUACCCUUGACAUGUCCGAGAGCCUGGAGAGAUCCAGGUGUGCCCGAAAGGGAAUAGGAACACAGGUGCUGCAUGGCUGUCGU